AUGAAAGCUCCGUGAUCAACCCGGGGAGGUGCGCGAGAAACUGGGGAGGCUCGAGCGGAGGAGGGGAGAGCGGAAUUCAUGGUGUAGCGGUGAAAUGCGUGGAUAUCAGGUGGGAACACCCGAGGCGAAGGGGGCUCUCUGGAAUCGUUCUGAUGCUGAGGGCGGAAAUCCGGGGGAGCAAACAGGCUAAGAUACCCCGGGUAGUCCCGCUCCAUAUACGGGUGCACACUGGGCGUGAGGUGGUAUCCACCCCCCCCCCGUCCGCAGCUAACGUGUUAAGUGUGCCGCCUGGGGAGUACGGCCGCAAGGCUAAAACUCAAAGAAAUUGACGGGGGCCCGCACAAGCGGAGGAGCAUGUGGCUUAAUUCGAUGCAACGCGAAGAACCUUACCCGGGUUUGACAUGUGACUGCACGUCCCGUGAAAGCGGGAUUCCUUCGAGGGUGUCACACAGGUGCUGCAUGGCUGUCGUCAGUUCGUGCCGUGAGGUGUUUGGUUAAGUCCAGCAACGAACGCAACCCCUGUGGCCAGUUGCCAGCGCGUAAUGGCGGGAACUCUGGCCAGACUGCCUGUUUACACAGGAGGAAGGUGGGGACGACGUCAAGUCAGUAUGGCCCUUACAUGGCGGGGCUGCACACGUGCUACAAUGGCCGGUACAAAGGGACGCAAGACCGCGAGGUGGAGCAAACCCCCAGAGCCGGCCCCAGUUCAGAUUGCGGUCUGCAACCCGACCGCACGAAGUAGGAUUCGCUAGUAACGGCGCAUCAGCUACGGCGCCGUGAAUACGUUCCCGGGCGUUGUCCACACCGCCCGUCACAUCAUGAAAGCCGUCUGCACCCGAAGCCGCCGUCCGAACCCGCAAGGGGCGUUGGCGU
rnacentral:rRNA from 1 species